UAUGUAGGGUGCAAGCGUUGUCCGGAAUUAUUGGGCGUAAAGAGCUCGUAGGCGGUCUGUCGCGUCGGCUGUGAAAACUCGGGGCUCAACUCCGAGCUUGCAGUCGAUACGGGCAGGCUAGAGUUCGGCAGGGGAGACUGGAAUUCCUGGUGUAGCGGUGAAAUGCGCAGAUAUCAGGAGGAACACCGGUGGCGAAGGCGGGUCUCUGGGCCGAUACUGACGCUGAGGAGCGAAAGCGUGGGGAGCGAACAGG
rnacentral:rRNA from 1 species